rnacentral:ncRNA from 2 species
AACUAUGCGCAAGGGAUAGUAGUGAAAAGCCCACAGUAGUAACAAUGGUAAUUGUUGCUACGCGGACUUGUAGCGGAUAGCCCGACCCUUU